GGCUGCUCCCAGGCCAAGCUGUGACAUCACGUCUCCCAGGUCUCCUCGUGGAAUAUGAUGUUCCUUUCCUGGAAUAACAGUAAGGAAUAAUAGCCCUGGGCAGAGAAGUAAUGUGGGAAAAUACUUGUAAUGCCCACAUGACCCCAGCACGUGGGGUCUGGGCCUGCCUGGAUCCAGCCCUGGGUGUUGGAGGACACAGGGAUGGGGCUGUGAGGGCAGCAAACAGCAAAGGUACAAAACCACAGAGAAAGCAGCUGGCCUCCUGCCACUUCCUUUGGAAGAUUAUUCCACCAUCUAAUAGAAAUCAGGGCCAGAAAGUAUUUUCCUGAGCCUACGUGCCAGAGGAAACACUCUGGGAAUAGAUAACGGCCCAAGUUUCACAAGGAUCAAAUAUUGCAAUUAUUAUCCUUCUCAGCCAGAGUCAUGACAGCUCCCACUGCAUGUGGCCACACUUCCAAAACCAUCCUGGGAAUGAGAAGCUAAUGGGAAAACUCACUAAAAACCCUGCAGCUUGGACAAAUGAAGGAAAAGGGAAAAUAAAAAGCAACACCUAAUUCUGUUUGUGUGAAAUGGCUCAGCAGAGGUACAAGAACAGGCAAAUCCAGAUAUCAAUUCCUUCUCUAUUUACUUUGUAGAAAUAAAGAAUAUUUAUUAACUUUA